rnacentral:lncRNA from 1 species
ACCAUCCAUUUAUUAAUGAUGCAAAAUGUUGCACAAUGAAACACAUGAGAUGGCCCUUACAAUGGACCAUUACGUUUCGGGCAAAACGUAUGGCUUUCAUGCAAACAGAAUUGAAAAACAGAAAUACUAUACAAUGAAACACAUGAGAUGGCCCUUACAAUGGACCAUUACGUUUCGGGCAAAACGUAUGGCUUUCAUGCAAACAGAAUUGAAAAACAGAAAUACUACUCUUCAUGAUGAGUGAUAGUGAUGAUCU